GGGCCUGUAGCUCAGGUGGUUAGAGCGCACGCCUGAUAAGCGUGAGGUCCGUGGUUCAACUCCACGCAGGCCCA
rnacentral:tRNA from 1 species